ACGGCAGUCCAGCUAAACAGUUAUCAGAUUGCACUGAUAUACAAAAAUGCCAGCCUGGUGAAUUCUGCUAUUUAGAACAUAUUUAUGAUAUCGGGAAGAACACAGAUUACUAUAUAGGAGGAUGUCGUGCUUCCGAGACCUGUCAUCUGCAGACUUGCCUAAAAGAUCAAUACAGUAGGAGAGAAGAGCACACAAAACUUGUACACUGCUCAGAGUGUUGUUCGUCGUCGUAUUGUAAUGGAAAACUAUGCAACUGUAAGCAGUGAAGU